rnacentral:rRNA from 2 species
GACGAACCGUGCGAACGUUAUUCGGAAUCACUGGGCUUAAAGCGCGUGUAGGCGGAUGGGGACGUCGGUCGCUGAAAUCCCCCGGCUCAACCGGGGAACGGGCGCCGAAACGCCCCGUCUCGAGGGACGUAGGGGGACCUGGAACUUCCGGUGGAGCGGUGAAAUGCGUUGAGAUCGGAAGGAACGCCCGUGGCGAAAGCGAGGUCCUGGACGUCUUCUGACGCUGAGACGCGAAAGCUAGGGGAGCGAACGGG